CUAUAACGCGUGUUAGAGUGCGAUGUCUGUCAUUAUAGACAAUCUUUGUUUUGGAAUACGUAAUUGCGUCAGCAUAUGUAAACGUUGUUUUUACGUGCUGUUGAAAAUAAAAAGGAAGGCGGGACCUCUCAUCUGUGAGUGAAGGAGAAAGACGAAGUGAGUGGGGGACUGCACUUCAAGUGAACAGAAAUUGUUUCCUGUGUCCAUUUGUGAGAGCUAAGUUGCAAACUCGGUGUGUGGAGAAGAAGGAUGUCUUUGACGGCUGCAGCGUCGGGAGAGAGUUCCCAGGCAGCGAGAGAGACAAAGGCUGCGCGAGAGCCAACUGGUUAUGGGCCCAGGCAGGCUACGAACACACACGUGUAUGGACGGGGACCGCCGCCGCGAUUCGACGGUGAUGAAGCCAGAUAUCAUAUCUGGGAAGCAAGAUUCCUGGCCUACCUAAAAACGAUCGGACUCAAAGAAACCAUCCUGGGAAGGGACCCAGUGGAUACUGAGGCUGAGGAGAUCGGUAGGAGGAAUGAACUUGCUUAUGCAGAACUGUGUGGCUGCUUGGACGAAAAAACGUUAAUGCUGAUUCUCUAUGAAGCUCCUGAUGAUGGGAGGAAAAGUUUGGAGAUAUUGAGGCGCCAUUUUGAGUCGGAGGAAAAACCGAGAAUCGUUAGCUUAUACACAGAGCUAACUAACGUGCUAAUGGCCGACGGUGAAGAUUUGGCGGACUAUUUAACACGUGUUGAGAAAAUAGUGGCGGCAUUAAACAGAGCAAAGGAGACGCUCAGUGAUGCACUUUUGGUGGCGAUGGUUUUAAAAGGCCUGACGGAUGAUUACAACCCAUUUUCAGUGCAUGUGACUCAAACAAGAGAGACAUUGACUUUCACAGAAUUUAAAACUCGGCUGAGAAGUUUUGAAUGCACGCUAAAAUACCGGAAUAAAACCCGAAGCAAUGAAGUCAUGACAACAAAAUACAAAGUCUCCAGACCAAAGCAUAAAGUCAAGGAAGAGAGCUAUUUCAACGGAGAAUGCUUUAUUUGUGAGAAGGUGGGACACAGAGCACGAGACUGCAGAAACAAAGACAAGAAGAUCCAUGGCAAGUACACGAAGGAGAACAAGUCUGCAUGGGGCAGGAACAAGGUGGCGGCCAUCUUGGAGGCUCCAGGAGACGGCACACCUGUGAGGGAAGAUGCAAAACAAGCGGAGGAGGAGCAGAAUUCAUUCGUUCUAAAGGUGGAUGGAUAUGCAUCUCAGUCUACACCACGGAAAGGUCUUCUGGUGGACAGCGGUGCUUCUGCACACAUUGUGACAGAUGAAAAGGCCUUCAUAAGGUUUGACAAAACUUUUCAUCCAAAGAAUCACGCGAUGGAGUUAGCAGAUGGCACGAGGAAAACUGGGAGUGUCCUGAAGAAAGGCGACGACCAGAUCGAGUUGGUCAACGACAAAGGAAAGGUGGUGAACGUCAUUCUUUCAUGUGCUCUGCUGAUUCCUGAAUACCCACAGAACAUCUUGUCUGUGGAGGCUGCAGCUUCUAAGGGAGCAAAAUUCCAUUUUGAGAAGAGCAACAGCAAGAUGAUUCUUCCUGAUGGAACAACAUGCAGCAUGAAGGUAAAAGGCAGACUGUAUUACCUGGAGACUGUAGAGAAACCAGAUUAUGACAAUAAUGAUGAAUGUAACACCUGUUUUGAUCUAAAAACCUGGCAUGAAGUACUGGGUCACUGUAAUUAUGGUGAUGUGCUUAAACUUGAGUCUGUUGUGGAUGGCAUGAAAAUCAGAGAGAAAGCUAAGAAACCAGGUGAAUGUGAGAUUUGUCUACAAGGCAAAUUUACUCAAACCAGAAACCGAGAAGGUGAUGCCAGAGUUAAAGCUCCAUUAGAACUUGUACACGCGGACCUGGGGGGCCCUAUUGCACCAGAGUCAUUUGAGGGGUACAAGUAUGCGAUCACUUUCACUGAUGACUUUUCAGGUGCUGUUUAUGUGUACUUCCUAAGAAACAAAAACAAAGCAGUUGAAGCUACGAAACAGUUUUUAGCAGACAUAGCACCCUAUGGUAAAGUAAAACGUCUCAGAUCAGACAAUGGGACUGAGUUUACUUCAGAAGAGUAUCAGACACUGCUGAGAGACAAUACGAUAAAACAUGAAAGGUCGGCUCCAUACUCCCCACAUCAAAAUGGGACCGCGGAGAGGAACUGGCGAACAGUGUUUGAAAUGGUGAGGUGUAUGCUCAUUGAAUCAGGCUUACCCAAAGAGUUAUGGCCUUAUGCAGCCAGGAUGGCUACAGUGAUAAGAAACCGAUGUUACUGUAAAAGAACAGGGGAGACACCAUAUUUUCUAUUCACUGGUAAAAGACCAGAUCUAUCCAGAAUGAGAAAAUUUGGUUCAGAGUGUAUUGUGUACGAACAAAACAAGAAAAAGUUAGACUCUAGAGGCAAAAGGGGGAUUUUUGUUGGUUUUGAUCGACAUUCUCCAGCAAACAUGGUGUUUUUUCCAGAAACCAAGAGUGUGCAGAAACACAGACUGAUACACUUCAUCACAAAAGAAAAGACAGAGAGUCAGACGCAGACUGACACAGAACAAAUGGGAGACUACUUUGUAGAGCACGUACCAGGACCAACCAAAGACAUUCAGUCAGAAACAGAACAGAUAAGGACUGACAACCAAGAGACAGACACCGACGCCCAAACUACACGUACAUCAGACAGAGUGAGAAAGAAACCCAAAUAUUUGGAAGACUAUGAGUGUGCAGUAAAGAACAGUGAACUAAGUGUUGACUACUGUUACAGGAUGACUGUUGGGUUACCACAGAGCUAUGAGGAGGCUGUAGCAUCAGAGAAAACAGACAGGUGGAGAAAAGCUAUGAUAGAUGAGAUGGUUUCAUUCAAGGAAAAUGACACCUUCCCUCUUGUACCACUACCGGAGGGUAGACACAGUGGGGGAAGGUGGGUUUAUGCUAUAAAAGAAGAUGAAAAAGGGAAUGAAACAUACAAGGCUAGAUACGUAGCAAAGGGGUACACACAAGUCGAAGGACUAGACUACUCCAAAACGUUUUCUCCAACUGCUAGUCUGACAUCACUACGCAUGCUAAUGCAAUUAGCAACAGAGUAUGACCUUAAACUGCAUCAGUUAGACGUUAAGGCAGCAUACCUACAUACACCCAUCGACUAUGAACUGUACAUGGAACAACCACAAGGUUUUCACGUAAAGUCUGAAAAAGGGGAGGAACUGGUAUUUAAGUUAAACAAAUCAAUUUAUGGCCUAAAACAAUCUGGGAGGAACUGGAACUUGAUGCUCCAUGAAUUUUUGACUGAAAAUGAAUUUGUACAGAGUCAAACCGAUAACUGUGUUUACACCAAACAGUCUGACAAAGAAAGAGUAAUAUUGUUGGUAUGGGUGGAUGACAUCAUUGUUGCUGCGAGCAAUGACAAGGGUAUGGAAGAAGUCAAGGAAAAACUGAAAAAUAAGUUCAAAAUGAAAGAUUUGGGACAACUCUCUCAUUUUAUUGGCAUUGAAUUUACCCAAACUGCAGAUACUGGCAAAAUGAACCAAUCCAGAUACAUUGAGAAAAUUCUGGAAAGAUUCGGGAUGUGUGAUUGUAAAGCCAGAGCUACCCCCAGUGAAGCAAAAUGUGAUCUCACUCCAGAAGGAGAUCCAACAAAUCAGAGAAAAUACAGGGAAAUGUUGGGCAGCCUCAUUUCCAUCAGUUGGAUUGUGAGUAAAUUAUCACAAUAUCUCUCAGAUCCUAGAGAGAAGCACAUGACAGCGGUGAAACAUGUCUACAGGUAUUUGAAAGGGACCAAAGGCAUUGAGUUGUGUUAUAGAAGAAGUGUCAACAAACUGGGACUGACUGGUUACUCUGAUGCAGACUGGGCUAACGACCCAGAUGACAGGAAAAGCACCACAGGUUACUGUUUCAGUUUAAAUGAAGAUGGUGCUGUCAUUUCAUGGAAAACCAAGAAACAGCAGACAGUUGCACUGCCGACAUGUGAGGCAGAAUACAUGGCCUUAGCAGGCACAAUCCAGGAAGCUCUUUACCUCACACAACUAUUGAAAGAUAUGGACUAUAGCUUUCAGGACACUACGACUAAAAUUUUUGAGGACAAUCAAGGAACUAUUCGUCUGGCUAAGAAUCCUGUUAACCGCCAGAGAAGUAAGCAUGUGGACAUUAAAUACCACUUUAUGAGGUCAACUGUAUUAGAGGGAAAAGUUGAACUGGUUUAUUGUCCAACAGAAAGUAUGGUGGCAGAUGUGUUCACAAAGUCUGCCACAAAACCCAAAAUGGAAAGGUUCUGUGCAUACAUGUUUGGUAUGUAAUGUUAUUGAUUUGAAUGACAUCAUCGAGUGGGGGUGUUAGAGUGCGAUGUCUGUCAUUAUAGACAAUCUUUGUUUUGGAAUACGUAAUUGCGUCAGCAUAUGUAAACGUUGUUUUUACGUGCUGUUGAAAAUAAAAAGGAAGGCGGGACCCCUCAUCUGUGAGUGAAGGAGAAAGACGAAGAGAUGAUGCCAUCUCUCAGCUGGAGGACCAGCAGGAUUGUGAUGGAGAAAUCUGUGAAGAAGAAGAUGAUGUGGGCGAGGAAAACCAACAGGAGGAUGGAGAAG